rnacentral:siRNA from 1 species
UACUAUUAAUUGGGAAGCAUGGU